UCAUAUCUGCCUGUUUUUAUCUUUUAUACUCAAUGUGUCUUCCUCUUGUUCAUCACAGUGACAAGUGGUUUUCUUUCAUUUCUCUUCACCUUUCCACCACUUGUUUCUUUCAUUUGCUAACUUAUCUUCUCUUAUGCAAGUUGAUUGCACUGAAAUGGAAAAAUAAGCAUGUAAACUACAUUAAUACAAACUGUCUCAUUCAUUUGUUUCAUUUUUACCCCUCAAUCAUUUCACUGUUUGGGAAGUAUGAGGAAAUCUUCACAUAACAGAAGGAAAGACAGUAAGAGAAGAGAUCACUUCAACUAGACUACAACAUAUGUAUAAUGUGCCAUCAAGGUUGUUAUUUCUAAAAUGAAGCUUCAUGUUUCAGGCUAGUUCCUCCUUAUAUUUGACUUCAUGUGACUUACUUUAGUUAAUUUUAUAUCCUGUUUAAUCUCUCUUUUCAUCUUGUCUUCAUUUAACUUGCAUAACCCCCCCUUCUCCUUCUCUCUCCCUCCCUCUCUCUGCCCACUCUUCUCUGAUAGGGAACAGGUUUUUCAAGACACAAGUCUACUGAUGAAGCAAGAUAAAUAAACAAGUUUAAUUCUUAUGCGGAAACACAAAACUUGUUUGUGGUAAAAGCUGUUUGAAUGUUUCAUUUUCAAUUACUUAAUGCAGACUAAAUGUAAUUAGGUUGAAAUUUCCAUAUGGAAUAAUGUUGAAUGGCAAAGUAUUGUAGGAUGUGUUUAUUCAUAGUGUGUCAGUGAAAAUGGCCACAGCAGUUUGGAUGGUAACGGAACCCAUAAUGCAGCUGUUCGGUUGAUUGACAGCUGGCUAUGGAUUCUGUGCCCCUCCUUUCUUGCAGGAGCUUAAAUUUGAAAAUUGUGUUUUAUGAUAUUUUACUGUUGUAUUCCUCUUGAAAUGUCUUUGAAUAUAACUAUGUUUAAUAUUAAGUUAAUAGCUGAUUAAUGUUAAUGCUUAUUCAGAAAUGAAUGUGUAUGUGUCUGUGCAAACCAUGUGAGUAUUUGAGUUCUGAUGUUGCUCUGGAAUGACACGUUUUCUCCCGGAUCGCCAGCAAUAUGUUUCGCCACCGGGAACUUCGUGUCAGCCAAGAUUGACAUCAAUUCCUGACAAUCAAAAAUCUUCAGAAUUUACCAAUCUUCAGUGUUCAGUAAAUCACAGAAUCUUUUUCAGACAUUUUAAUUUUGUCUCUGUAAUUCUUCAAUAAAUUACGAACAUUUGUUAUAACACCUCUUGAUGACUUUUUCACUUUUAGGCCUAAAUAAUUUUCUAGAUUUACAUGGUGUUAUAAAGAUGAAUGCCAGCUUUGUAUUUUCAAAAGCUGACUGAUCUGGAGCAGGUUUAGGAUGAUUUGGUUUGUAGAUUUUAAUCUGGCCAGAGGAUACAAAGUGAAAUAUUUGAGCCAGUGUUGCUGUUUAGUAAAGCAACAAGUCACAUGUAAUUUGGCUCAAGUUCAACCCAACCCAACAGGCAACUGUUACCUGCAUCAAACAAAAGCGGAAGUAUACUCAAAUAAACAUCCAAACAACCAGCAUUCAAAUAUGCCUUGGUAUGAAGUGUGAUCAGAUCUUAUUUUGAUAUAUUUUUCUAAAGAUUCCUAUAAACCCUUUACAAAUAUGGUUUUAUUACUCUUACAUAAGGAAAUAUUGAAGUAUUCCAACAGUAGUCUAUUGUUAAAAUGUGUUAUGCUAAAACGGUUUAUCCUAGAAACAAUAUUCUGGAUGCAGCCAUUUUAAACAUUAAAUAGAGUAAAAGGUUUGCUUAUAUUGUUAGAGAAAAAGUCUUAAAGCAAUACUUCACUGCCCCAAAAACUAGAAUAUUCUGUUAUCAUUGACUCACCGUCAGGUUUUUUAAGUCAGAAAAGGGGAAAUUUAUAGAAUGUUCAAGCUACUGUUUUCUAUAAAAUGAGUGUAAAUGGUGACCAUAUAUCAGCAUAAAGCAAGAUUUGUAGUGAAUACUUUAAUGACAUAAAUGGCCUUUUCUUCACUGAAAGCUAUCAAAUGUUGUGUAGUGCCAUAUAUGAAGUCAUAUGAGUUUAAAAGCAGAGAGUGAAAAAGAUGAUAUCAUUUGUAUUUUUGGGUAGUAUAAGUAUACUUUAAUAUGUAAAAUAUCAGUGAUAAGAAGCACAGUAACCCCUGGAAUAUCAAAAAGUGUAGUUUACAUUAGUCAGAAUAAAACGGCAUCUUAUGAACAAAACGCAUUUUAUCAGAAGAGCACUUUUACUUUCUUUUCUGUCACUGACAGAUCUGAUUUUGCCACACCCAAAAUGGCGCCUUUCAAAAGGUCGCCACCGGAAAGUACUGUUGCAUGAAAAUAUGUCCCCCUCUGACCAGUGACAUUUCCUAACGUUCCGGUCCCUAUAUAUACACAUCUGUUUUUAUUGGUGAUCAAUCUGAGCAGAGCACCGCAGUGCUGCUACAGUCAAUCUCAGUAACAGUCCUCGAGUUCAGGUACUAAUGACAAUGUCAACAUAUUGAGCCUAAUCAUGGAGGAAGCAGUGCCUUUUAGCAUCGUGUCCACCGUCAAAGCGCUGAGCGGUGCGUUGCGGGGAGACGCUGAAAAUGAAGCCGAAAUCAGCCGCGAGCGAGAGAAGCUCUGGUUCAAGGAGAGCAGCGCCAAAAACCUGAGAAAUCGCGACUUCUUGUCACCUAAUACGGUUCUGACAACUUUGUACGCGGGUGGAGAGGUCCCCUCUGAUGUUGUCAGUGGUAUUCACUCUCUUCGUGGCAGCGGUGUUUUGCCGAUAGGAGCAACUGAGGUGACCGCAGAAGGGCUGCGUGUGUGUGUGGAUCGCUGCACAGCAUUCAGACGUGUUUUAUGUGGAAUACAGCCAUAUCUGAGACCUGCUGCUCAGAGACAGGGCUGUGUCCUCAUCAACUGCCCUGCCCUCCACACCAAACAAGCCGUGCCGUCUCCCGAUACACUAGCUCUGGGGCAGCUACGAACCGUUCUCAUUGCUGACCACCUCGGGGCACAGCUCAGAAGACAAGGGUACACUGUGUCCUUUUGUCCAGCCUUGCCGCAGGAGAGUGACAUUGUCAACUUCCUGAAAACACUAGGCAUUGAUUGGCCUACAGUCCCUGUCAGCUGGACCAAUGAGGACAGGGAGGAGAAGAUGAAAAAAGCUUUAGAGAACUCAACCUACAGAGACAGAGAAAUGGAGAGGGGAAAGCGGAGAAGCAGAGGAGAGGAAAUAGAGGGAGAGAAAAGAGGGAUAAAAGAGGAAGUUAGGAUAAACCUUAAACAAGUGGUACAGGACGAGAACCUUCAGGGUUAUGAUCCCAGCCUUGGCACUUGCACAGUGCAGAAAGAAGCUUUGUGUCAUCUGGCCCAGCUGGACAGCGCAACCGCAGAUUUCCCUGUCUGUACGGCAACGGCCCUGCAUGUCACUUCCUGUCAGGAUGAGUUUCGUCAGCAGCAAACAGCCAUGCUGUGGAGAGCAGCGGGUGCAACGGCAGUGCAGAGAUUAGUGAUUUGUGGUCCUGUUAAAACUCCUGGCGUUCAGAUGAAUGCAGCUCAGUAUCUUCAGUUAAGAAAAGCUCAGAUGAAAGAGGCCUCAGAAAUGAAGUAUGGAGACCAAGUUGAAGGACAGACAUGGGAUGACAUCAUUAGAGUCAUGACCUCGGCCACCGUGAGGUUUGAACUGCUGUCUACGGUGCACACGAGUCCGGUGACCUUAGAUGUGCAGCGGGACAGUGGUGUGUCCACAAAAGGCCCCAGGGGUGGAGUCUUUGUCAUGUAUAACUGCGCUCGUCUUCAUACACUCUUCAGCAGCUAUGAGAAAGGGGUGGAGCAAGGUCUUUAUCCAGAAAUCCCUGGAGGCACAGAGCUGGACUUUACUGCCCUGAAAGAGGAGGGGGAGUGGCUUCUUCUCUUCAAUUACCUCAUUCCAUUCUCUGAGCUGCUUGACCAGUCAGGACAGAUCCUGGAGCAUGAAGGGGGUGGAGCAAGAGUUAAUUUAAGAACAGAACAGGUGCUGUCCAUUUCUUCUGAUCGUCCUUGAGAUGGUUCUACACCUUCAUUUGAGUCCAGCUGUGUUUGAUUAUACUGAUUGGACUUGAUUAGGAAAGCCACACACCUGUCUAUAUAAGACCUUACAGCUCACAGUGCAUGUCAGAGCAAAUGAGAAUCAUGAGGUCAAAGGAACUGCCUGAAGAGCUCAGAGACAGAAUUGUGGCAAGGCACAGAUCUGGCCAAGGUUACAAAAAAAUUUCUGCUGCACUUAAGGUUCCUAAGAGCACAGUGGCCUCCAUAAUCCUUAAAUGGAAGACGUUUGGGAUGACCAGAACCCUUCCUAGAGCUGGCCGUCCGGCCGAACUGAGCUAUCGGGAAAGAAGAGCCUUGGUGAGAGAGGUAAAGAAGAACCCAAAGAUCACUGUGGCUGAGCUCCAGAGAUGCAGUUGGGAGAUGGGAGAAAGUUGUAGAAAGUCAACCAUCACUGCAGCCCUCCACCAGUCAGGGCUUUAUGGCAGAAUGGCCCGACGGAAGCCUCUCCUCAGUGCAAGACACAUGAAAGCCCGCCUGGAGUUUGCUAAAAAACACCUGAAGGACUCCAAGAUGGUGAGAAAUAAGAUUCUCUGGUCUGAUGAGACCAAGAUAGAACUUUUUGGCCUUAAUUCUAAGCGGUAUGUGUGGAAAAAACCAGGCACUGCUCAUCACCUGUCCAAUACAGUCCCAACAGUGAAGCAUGGUGGUGGCAGCAUCAUGCUGUGGGGGUGUUUUUCAGCUGCAGGGACAGGACGACUGGUUGCAAUCGAGGGAAAGAUGAAUGCGGCCAAGUACAGGGAUAUCCUGGACGAAAACCUUCUCCAGAGUGCUCAGGACCUCAGACUGGGCCGAAGGUUUACCUUCCAACAAGACAAUGACCCUAAGCACACAGCUAAAAUAACGAAGGAGUGGCUUCACAACAACUCCGUGACUGUUCUUGAAUGGCCCAGCCAGAGCCCUGACUUAAACCCAAUUGAGCAUCUCUGGAGAGACCUAAAAAUGGCUGUCCACCAACGUUUACCAUCCAACCUGACAGAACUGGAGAGGAUCUGCAAGGAGGAAUGGCAGAGGAUCCCCAAAUCCAGGUGUGCAGAUUCUUGGUGUCUCUCAGUAAAGAUUUUAGUUCCUACUACAACAGAGUUCAUGUCCUUGGGGUCUGAGUCUGUCAGGCUUCAGAUCCAGCAGCUGGGUGAGAAACUAGCUGGAUUGGAGUUUAAGCAGGUCUAAAUCCUGAGUAAGACAGCUAGAUACCCCUCUCAUCUGUUGCUAAUCCACUUUAAUCCCAGUUCACUUUCACUCUGAGCACAACUAGAGCGCCUUCCAGUCGAUCUGAAUUCAGUCCAAACAUUCUGUUCACACUCAAACAGGAUUAGUUCUGAUUCAUAUCGGGGAAGACUCAGUCGCUGACAGAUGCCCAUGACUGAAGUGUGUUUAAAACUAGCUGCUCUAUAAAGGCAAUUAUAUCCCAUGCUGGAGCAAAUUAAUGUGCUCCCCCUCUUUAGAUGUAAUAGGAUCCAGUAAGAUUUGUUCUCAUUAAUAUAAUAUGGCAUAAUCUUUAGGGUCCUAUUAAAGGCACAUAGUCAAUUCCUUUUCAUUAAAUAUGCUCUCCUUUUCGUCAUAAAUGAGGCUCUUUUUCUGUUUUCAGAUGUUUUAAUAUAUGUAUACUCUUAUUAAUGUUUUUAAAUCUUACUGGUGUUAUUGGUAUGAAUAUUUAAAUUUUGAAUUAUAUAUUUAUGUAUGAAUAUUAAUAUGUUUUGGCAUUUUUCUUUGAUUUAGACACAGAUUUAUGCUUCACUUUUAUGCUUUAUGUCUUUUAAUCAAAUGGAUUUUUCCAUUUUGGUUCUCUGUGUUAGUUUAGCAUAGGAAAUGCUAUUUCAUAUAUAUCGGUAUCUAUCUACACAGAAUCUGCUGUGUCGGUGCUGUGACAGUUGUGACUUUGAAUGUUGGAGGAAGGUGAUAAGCAAGAAAAUAUUUAUAGCUGCAUUAUAAUAACUAUUUUUUUUUCUGGCUUUUUUUAAAUGUCACCUCUCUCUCUCUCUCUCUCUCUCUCUCUCUCUCUCUCGAUUUUCCUCUUACUUUCACAAUGUAACUUGCUUUCUCAUUCCCCGUUCCCUGGCCUUUUUCUCUUUCCCUCUCUCAUUCCAUCUUUUUUUUUUUUUUCUCUCUCAUUCCCUUUAUUUUUUUUAUUUGAUGAUUUGGGUCACUGGCUGACUAAGAGACAACUCACAGCUGGCCUAUAAACAACCUUCCCCCUUUCAGCAGCAUUAGCUCAAACACACACACACACACACACACAAUCUCUCACUUCAGCACUCAGCAGCACAAAUCUCUCACACAUUCUCACUUGGCAUCAUUUGUUUACUAGGUCUUUUAAAAUGAGAUUUUUGGACCACUCUCUGAUCCUUUGUAUGUUUAUAUCAAGAAAUAUUUGACCUUUUCUCUGCUGUUUUGACUUAGAAGUAUUGUAUAAAGAAUUAUAUAGCAAAAUUAUGUCAGAGUAUUAACAAGAACCUGAAAGAAUCACAACCGCUCUGCCACAGACACCUUAACCCAUUAAAAUUUGAUUUGAUUUGAAAGCUCAGUAAGUCAGUAAAUAUCAAUGAUCAUCCAGUCAAGGAAAAGUGUUUAACAGCUUACAUUCUCCGGCUAUAUAUUUAAAAUGUGCAUACAAUUUUGUUUUCUUUUUUUUUCUGUUUUAGGUUUAUAAUAGUUAAAAUUAUUUAUUUUAUUUCGUGUUUUAUUUUGAAAUAAAAUAAUUAAAACAUUUGAGUCAGAAAUUCUUUAGAUUAUUUGAUAAAUAUAAAUUCAUCCAGUUCCUUUUAUGACCCUCUCUUGCAUUUUUAAAAAUAUAAGAAAAUGUUUUACUUUAUCAUUAUGCGGUAAUUCAGUUGUUAUCAAUACUAUGAUAACUAGUUUUUAUCAUCCAGCUGUGUUUGUGUGUUCAUUUUUCAGCCCUCUGCACUUAUAUUUCUUUCACCAUUAUGUCGAAAUAGACUGCGAACAGCAGACUGCUGUGUUUGUUUAUGAAAUGGGAGUGAUGCGUCAGUAAUGCGAUGAUAACACGUUUUGAAGGGUGCGCGACUGCGCGUGUGGGCACGGAUGGACUAAUUCCAACUUUUCACCUAAACGAACGAGGGAGAGAGCACACGGUCUGCUUUAAGAGUCAUUCAGAAGUUAAAUUACGAGAGCUCCAUGUCGAAAUCCAAUAACCAUGCGGCAGAUAACGAACAUACAGUGUUCGUAAUCCCAUAAUCCUCUAAAAUUGCUAAUGACAUCACUAUAUGCUCCCGGGCAACAGCGGCGCGAAGCGCUUAUGCACGAGCCGGGGACGGGUCCUGUGGUGGGGGCGUGUGCUGAGUUUACUUGGCCUUAAUGAAUUCUGGGUGUGAGUGGAGCCACAUUGAAUAUUCAGGUUCAGCUCACGUGCGCAUCAUUUUAAUUAAUUCGCGCUCACCAGGCACAGAUUUGGUGUGGUAACAGUCUCGCAAUGCUCAGCACACUCCACCCAAUUGACACCAUAUGCCUUCAGCCGUAUCUCAAGGGCUCUGUGUGUCUUGAAGAGGCGGUUGUAUUUUGAGAGACAGAUUAGGGUGUGUGUGUAGGUGUCAGAAAAACAAUGCUUGAGAUUUGUAAAUACAAAGUGCAUUAUUUAAACCUCACUUUCUGCAUUUUGCCUACAUGCAGCCAUGCUUAUAUAACUGUAUAUAGGCUAGCGAAUAAAAAAUGGCCAUCACAGUAUGUCUGCUAUUAUCUGCCAGUCUCUCUCUCUCUUGUGAAUAUGUAUUAUAGCCGCCUGCCCGUUCAGGCCCAGCCGUGACAGAUGCUCACUGGACCGAGGCCACCUGCUGCUCUGGCCACAGGGGAGGGGUUUGCGGGGUGAGCAGAGAGGACAGGGUUGUGUGUGUGGGGGGUUCUGCCGGAUGCGAACAAUUACAGAUCAACAGUGCUGGUGAGACACAAACACAAACCCCUCUUCUUGAUGGAACGUACCCCCUACUCUUGCCGUUCCCAUGGUAACUCAUGGAAUAGGUACGGCCUUGCAGCUGACAGCUUACCUGAAUGUGUGUUGGUGUAUGUGUGUGCAUGUGUGUUAAAGGACCCCAGGUGUGCUCUGUGAAGUGUGCACCCCUGUAAUCCGCAGGCUGGAUUUUUGGGGAUUACAAAUCAGCCUAUUAGAGCUCUCACUCUCUCUUCUCUCUUCUUAUCUCAUAACCCGCACACACAAAAGCCGUAUAGAAUAGAGUGUCUGUUUUAGUCUCAUGCAGCUAGGAGUCUUAUUAAUAAUUUUGUGCAACGCUAUGUUUAGUGCAAAGUUUAUGCAGGCAUGAAUAUAACAAGAUUGUGCUUGAUAUUGAAGCCCUUUAAAAUUGAACAUGCUUCUUGUGGUUUUGGACCCACAGAAAUACACGAGACUGUCUUUUUCUUUUUUACUCACUUUGAAUUCCAGCUUCAGAAACUAAUGCCUGUGAGACAUAAGCUAUGGAUCUCAGCAGUCAGCAGGACACCAACUGAGCCCAGGACAGGAGUGCUGUCUGGUUCUGAAAAGAUCAGGUGUUGUACACUCUUCUUUGAAUGGUUCAAGGAUUUUUUUUUUUUUUUUUUUUUUUUUUUUUAAAAAGCAUUUUAAAUUAGUUUUUUUUUUUUUUCAGUCUUCACAUUG